rnacentral:rRNA from 1 species
GACAGAGGCCUCAAGCGUUAGGCGGAAUCACUGGGCUUAAAGCGUGUGUAGGCGGAUCGUUAAGUCCCUUGUGAAAUCCCACGGCUCACCCGUGGAACUGCUGGGUAUACUGGCGGUCUUGGGCCAACUAGGGGCAGCUGGAACAAGCGGUGGAGCGGUGAAAUGCGUAGAUAUCGCUUGGAACGCCGAAGGUGAAAACAGGCUGCUGGGGUUGUGCCGACGCUGAGACACGAAAGCCAGGGGAGCAAACGGG